UCUCCCUCUCCCUCUCUCUCUCUCUCUUCGAUCGACCCACCACCAUAGACCCACCGAAUCCCAGUCGCUCCUCUCUGGCGAUCCCGAUUGGACACCAUUAACACCACCGACCGGCGCAACGAUCACCACUGUAACCACCACUGUUCGAGGUUCCCAGAGUUCGAAUCGAUGGCAUGUAGUUCUUCUUCACCCCAAACGGUACGAGUAAUUCUCAGGUUUGGGUUUUUCUCUUUCCAAGGGAUUUCUUCUAUUUUCAAGCACCGCUAAAGUAGUGGAACAGCCGAGGUCAAGGACUCAAAGAUUGUGAAGGAUGCCAAUCUAGCCUUUAACUCCUUUCAAAAGUCUGCAACGACUUGCCGACAUGGAUAACGUGACUAUUUUUGGCCAGAAAAAUCGAAGGCAAGGAGAAAUGGCUCAACAAAGACAAAAUGCAACCACAAAAGGCAAGGAAAAAGAUAAGGCAAUUCGUUCCGACGGAAAAGAGAAAAAUUGGGUAUGAUUCAAAGAGUUGAGUAGGUCAAUAAUCUGUCAUAUUUAUGGGACUAUGCGAACAGAAAGAUCAUUCCAUAUAAUAUUUUUGGCAGUAAGUUCUUUGGAUAUUUGAUCGGUCUGUUCCCAAAUUAUAAAUUUAGUGAUCUUCUGUGUCUAAUGGGAAGAAUAGAUUUGGAUCUAAUUGGAAAAUAGGAGUUUUUAAUGGUUUGAGAACAAUAGGUUUGUGUCUAAUGUUGAAGCCGUUAUAUGUAAUUUGAGUAGGCAAGGACAAAUUGCAC